rnacentral:rRNA from 1 species
UACGGAGGGUGCGAGCGUUGUCCGGAAUCAUUGGGCGUAAAGGGCGCGUAGGUGGCGGGACAAGCGUGCGGUGAAAGCCUGGGGCUCAACCCCGGGUCGGCCGUGCGAACUGUUUUGCUUGAGCACUGUAGAGGCAGGCGGAAUUCCGGGUGUAGCGGUGGAAUGCGUAGAGAUCCGGAAGAACACCGGUGGCGAAGGCGGUCUGCUGGGCAGCUGCUGACACUGAGGCGCGACAGCGUGGGGAGCAAACAGG